AGUGAACGCUGGCGGUAGGCCUAACACAUGCAAGUCGAACGGCAGCACAGUAAGAGCUUGCUCUUACGGGUGGCGAGUGGCGGACGGGUGAGGAAUACAUCGGAAUCUACUUUUUCGUGGGGGAUAACGUAGGUAAACUUACGCUAAUACCGCAUACGACCUACGGGUGAAAGCAGGGGAUCUUCGGACCUUUCGCGAUUGAAUGAGCGGAUGUCGGAUUAGUUAGUUGGCGGGGUAAAGGCCCACCAAGGCGACGAUCCGUAGCUGGUCUGAGAGGAUGAUAAGCCACACUGGAACUGAGACACGGUCCAGACUCCUACGGGAGGCAGCAGUGGGGAAUAUUGGACAAUGGGCGCAAGCCUGAUCCAGCCAUACCGCGUGGGUGAAGAAGGCCUUCGGGUUGUAAAGCCCUUUUGUUGGGAAAGAAAAGCAGCAGGUUAAUACCCCGCUGUUCUGACGGUACCCAAAGAAUAAGCACCGGCUAACUUCGUG
rnacentral:rRNA from 1 species